AUUUUGAGACGGAUUUGAUGAAGUAGUUGUAAAGAUGUGCGAUCUCUCAGUUUUUAGCUUCUACAAACCUCAACUUUGUACAUGAUGCUGUUCAGGAAAUUGGAAAACAUGUUGCCAUGGUUUAGUCAAAAACUUUUGUGUUCUGUUGUUCCUUGUGGAACCAGUAGCACAACUGUGACAUGUCUUAGAAGGAGAGUAAUGGUGAUGAUUGUUGUGACCAGGAGGCAAUUAAGUGAAGAAAAAAACCAUGAACAAAACCGUAAAGUAAAAUUACCACCUGAAGAACCAGUUGGUUGUUGCAUGAGUGGCUGUUAUGACUGUGUGUGGGUUCAGUAUGCUCAAGAUUUGUUAGAUUACUAUAAAGAUGGUGGGCAGAAGGCAAUGCAAGUUAUUAAUCAGAUGGAUAAUGAAAAUUUGAAGACAUUUUUGAAACUGGAGUUGAAAACCAAAGGAAUUUUUUGAUGAAUAUUAAGUAAUAAGUAAGUGUAGGAAAUAGCCUUUUUUUUCUGAUGAUCUUUUACCUUUGUUCAGCUAGAAGGUGCACAUCCUCUGAUGGUCUUUUACGUUUGAUCCGCUAGAAGGUACACAUCCUAUGAUAGUCUUUUCCCUUUUUUCAGCUAGAAGGUGCACAUCCUAUGGUGAUCUUUUACCUUAGUUCAGCUAGAAGGUGCACAUCCUAAGUUUAGUGACAUAAUAUUACACUUUGAAAUGUUUUCAUCAUCAGACUGCAGCACAACGGCUUGUUAUAUUUCUUAUAGCAUGUAUAACAAUAAUAAUACAUCUGCUAUAGAAUCACUUGAAAUAUCUUAGAAAUACUAUGGUGCUUUGGGCCAAGUCCCAAGGAUAUGACUAAGUAUGGAAAGUCAGUUGACAUGAACACUUGAAUUACCUUCAGAGAUAUUAAUGCUAAGUUAUGUUAAGUAAUAUACAAACUAGAUAAUAUUUCAAUGGAGGAAAUUUUAGAAAUAAAUUUUUGGACAUAAAUAGG